rnacentral:rRNA from 1 species
AGAGUUCGAUCCUGGCUCAGGAUGAACGCUGGCGGCGUGCUUAACACAUGCAAGUCGAGCGAGGGAGCACCUUCGGGUGUGAACUAGCGGCGGACGGGUGAGUAACACGUGGGCAACCUGCCUUACAGAGGGGGAUAGCCUUCCGAAAGGAAGAUUAAUACCGCAUAUUAUGAUUUUUCUGCAUGGGAAAGUCAUGAAAGGAGCAAUCCGCUGUAAGAUGGGCCCGCGGCGCAUUAGCUAGUUGGUGAGGUAAGGGCUCACCAAGGCGACGAUGCGUAGCCGACCUGAGAGGGUGAUCGGCCACACUGGGACUGAGACACGGCCCAGACUCCUACGGGAGGCAGCAGUAGGGAAUCUUCGGCAAUGGGGGCAACCCUGACCGAGCAACGCCGCGUGAGUGAAGAAGGUUUUCGGAUCGUAAAGCUCUGUUGUAAGUCAAGAACGAGUGUGAGAGUGGAAAGUUCACACUGUGACGGUAGCUUACCAGAAAGGGACGGCUAACUACGUGCCAGCAGCCGCGGUAAUACGUAGGUCCCGAGCGUUGUCCGGAUUUAUUGGGCGUAAAGCGAGCGCAGGCGGUUUGAUAAGUCUGAAGUUAAAGGCUGUGGCUCAACCAUAGUUCGCUUUGGAAACUGUCAAACUUGAGUGCAGAAGGGGAGAGUGGAAUUCCAUGUGUAGCGGUGAAAUGCGUAGAUAUAUGGAGGAACACCGGUGGCGAAAGCGGCUCUCUGGUCUGUAACUGACGCUGAGGCUCGAAAGCGUGGGGAGCGAACAGGAUUAGAUACCCUGGUAGUCCACGCCGUAAACGAUGAGUGCUAGGUGUUGGAUCCUUUCCGGGAUUCAGUGCCGCAGCUAACGCAUUAAGCACUCCGCCUGGGGAGUACGACCGCAAGGUUGAAACUCAAAGGAAUUGACGGGGGCCCG